rnacentral:lncRNA from 1 species
AGUUAGUUAUUCACUGCAACCAAGUGCAGAUCAUUUCCACUUACUUUACCAUCUAACUGUGAAGAUUAUUAAGGAAAAGGACUUUUUCUUCUUCUCUCUUCUAACAUGUUAAACUAAGAACCUUCCCACUGUGAACUACUGGCAUCUUACUUUUUGACCCCUUGACAAGAAGAACUGGAGUUACCAAAAUGCUGUCAUUUAAGGUGUUGGAGUGGAAACCAGAACAUUACCUAUUAUCAAGAAGGGGUUUCUUCUAAGGCAUUCAGGAGCCUCAUGGUUUUGUCAGCUGAAAUAGUACACCCACUAUAGAGUAGAGUGAAUUUAGUGUUUAUUUCUGCUGAUGAUGAAGGAGCCAUUCCAAAUUACUCUACUGGAAUUACAUUGAACAUGGACAAAAAUCUUCAAUCAAACAAAUUCAUACAAAAGGAAUUCAGGGUAUUUAAUCAGAAGAGAAGGAGACAGAGGAGGCAAAGAUACCAUUUUCAAGUGUCGGGAAGUCCAUAAUGUCAUUUAGAAGAGGGCAUGGUCCUGUUCAGUGUUGCGUGUAUUAUUGCUCCUUUCCAUGCCUAUCUCAAUAAA